UACAGAGGUCGCAAGCGUUGUUCGGAUUCAUUGGGCGUAAAGGGUGUGCAGGUGGCGCGCUAAGUCGGGUGUGAAAUUUCGGAGCUUAACUCCGAAACUGCAUUCGAUACUGGCGUGCUUGAGGACUGGAGAGGAGACUGGAAUUCAUGGUGUAGCAGUGAAAUGCGUAGAGAUCAUGAGGAAGACCAGUGGCGAAGGCGGGUCUCUGGACAGUUCCUGACACUGAGACACGAAGGCCAGGGGAGCAAACGGG
rnacentral:rRNA from 1 species